UCUCUGGGUGACUGUGUUCUUCUCUGAGUGGGGUUCCGUGGCCCUCCUGGGGAUCAGUGCUGCGGUCAGGCUCCUAGUCUUUCUCUCCCAGAUUCACCUUCCCUGGGGCUCCUGGAGACCCCUCAGGUGGGCUACCUGGUAAUCAUUCCAAUUUUCCAGCACAUUCAGGUUGAGUAGGGAGGUAGGUUCAUCAGGUGAAUUGGUUCCAGGGCACAGGGAUCGGGCAAAAAGUCAAUGGGCAGCAGGUGAGGCUGCUGCUGUGCUCUCCUUCCAGUCCACUGUCUCCUCCGAAGAGAACAGAGCUGCCCCUCGUCUUUCAGCCCAGCUCUCCCAUGUUUUCUCAACGCCUCAGCGGGACAAGAAAGACAGAGCCUGGCAGAAACAAGUCGAUCAUCCCUCUUCAGCAGAGAGCAGACCUCCCCCUCGUCUCCCAGCCCUGCGUCUGGCGUGUUUUCUCAACACCUCAGUGGGACAAGAAAGGACCGAGCCUGCCAGAACCAAGGGUGAGAGUGAAAUUUACCUGUUUCCACUGGCUUCUUGAAGGGAGAUGAUGGAACCCCCUCUUCACAUCCCCAGGGAAUAGACUUUGGCAACAACUCCUUGAAUAGACAGGCUCCAGAGGUCAGAACAGUAAACUUCCAGAGAGCUAAACCAAGGGUUUCAACAUCCACACCUUUGCCGUUAUUAUGAAAAACCAUCACUCAAAAUGACACAUGAACCCCAAUGCUCACUGCAGUGGUACCUCUAGUUGCCAAGACGCAGACCCAAGACAAGGUCCACAGACUUAAUCUUAAAGAAAUGUGGUACAUAUAUUUAAUGGGCUAUUACUCAUACUUCAAAAACCGCAACUGAAAUUAUGAAUUUAUGCCAAUGGUCCCCACAUGGAUGGACUAUGGAGGAGAAUUCACUAUACGAAGUCAGCAUCAGAUGAAGAAAAUAGCAGAUCACGUCCCUUCUACAGAAAAUGUUAAAAAAAAAAAAAAAAAAGAGGAAGUAAUUUACAAUACAAAGAGACUCUGAGAUUCAAGUACAGGCAAAGGAUUCCAAAAAAGAAGCAAAGGUCCAGGGAUGAAUUAGGAGGUGGGUACUAAUGUACAUACAGAAAUCUGUAUCUCUAAUAGAUAAUCCACAAGGAUUACCUCCUCCUCUCUUUCCUUCCACGUUGACACAUAUAUCUAAGUGGUACUCCUGAUGUUCAGGCCAGGAAACUUUGCUCGAAAUUCUGCAAUAAGCUAUAUGGCAAACAAUUCAAAAAGAACAGAUAUUCUAUAUGUAAAUAUAUACCAUAACUCAAUCAAAUGGCUGUAUACUGCCAAGAACAAAAGGGCAAAUCAACUAUAUUCCCACUUAG